UGCGUAGGCGGCCAGAUCAGUCAGGCGUGAAAGUUUUCGGCUUAACCGGAAAAUUGCGUUUGAUACUGUUUGGCUAGAAUCAGGAUGAGGUUGGCGGAAUGUGACAUGUAGCGGUGAAAUGCAUAGAUAUGUCAUAGAACACCGAUUGCGAAGGCAGCUGACUGGACCUGAAUUGACGCUGAGGCACGAAAGCGUGGGGAGCGAACAGGAUUAGAUACCCUGGUAGUCC
rnacentral:rRNA from 1 species